rnacentral:rRNA from 1 species
GGUCAAGUGAAGAAGCGCAUACGGUGGAUGCCUUGGCAGUCAGAGGCGAUGAAAGACGUGGUAGCCUGCGAAAAGCUUCGGGGAGUCGGCAAACAGACUUUGAUCCGGAGAUCUCUGAAUGGGGGAACCCACCUAGGAUAACCUAGGUAUCUUGUACUGAAUCCAUAGGUGCAAGAGGCGAACCAGGGGAACUGAAACAUCUAAGUACCCUGAGGAAAAGAAAUCAACCGAGAUUCCCUUAGUAGUGGCGAGCGAACGGGGAUUAGCCCUUAAGCUUCAUUGAUUUUAGCGGAACGCUCUGGAAAGUGCGGCCAUAGUGGGUGAUAGCCCCGUACGCGAAAGGAUCUUUGAAGUGAAAUCGAGUAGGACGGAGCACGAGAAACUUUGUCUGAACAUGGGGGGACCAUCCUCCAAGGCUAAAUACUACUGACUGACCGAUAGUGAACCAGUACCGUGAGGGAAAGGCGAAAAGAACCCCGGAGAGGGGAGUGAAAUAGAACCUGAAACCGUAUGCGUACAAGCAGUGGGAGCCUACUUGUUAGGUGACUGCGUACCUUUUGUAUAAUGGGUCAGCGACUUAUAUUCAGUGGCAAGCUUAACCGUAUAGGGUAGGCGUAGCGAAAGCGAGUCUUAAUAGGGCGUUUAGUCGCUGGGUAUAGACCCGAAACCGGGCGAUCUAUCCAUGAGCAGGUUGAAGGUUAGGUAACACUGACUGGAGGACCGAACCCACUCCCGUUGAAAAGGUAGGGGAUGACUUGUGGAUCGGAGUGAAAGGCUAAUCAAGCUCGGAGAUAGCUGGUUCUCCUCGAAAGCUAUUUAGGUAGCGCCUCAUGUAUCACUCUGGGGGGUAGAGCACUGUUUCGGCUAGGGGGUCAUCCCGACUUACCAAACCGAUGCAAACUCCGAAUACCCAGAAGUGCCGAGCAUGGGAGACACACGGCGGGUGCUAACGUCCGUCGUGAAAAGGGAAACAACCCAGACCGCCAGCUAAGGUCCCAAAGUUGUGGUUAAGUGGUAAACGAUGUGGGAAGGCUUAGACAGCUAGGAGGUUGGCUUAGAAGCAGCCAUCCUUUAAAGAAAGCGUAAUAGCUCACUAGUCGAGUCGGCCUGCGCGGAAGAUGUAACGGGGCUCAAACCACACACCGAAGCUGCGGGUGUCACGUAAGUGACGCGGUAGAGGAGCGUUCUGUAAGCCUGUGAAGGUGAGUUGAGAAGCUUGCUGGAGGUAUCAGAAGUGCGAAUGCUGACAUGAGUAACGACAAUGGGUGUGAAAAACACCCACGCCGAAAGACCAAGGGUUCCUGCGCAACGUUAAUCGACGCAGGGUUAGUCGGUUCCUAAGGCGAGGCUGAAAAGCGUAGUCGAUGGGAAACAGGUUAAUAUUCCUGUACUUCUGGUUACUGCGAUGGAGGGACGGAGAAGGCUAGGCCAGCUUGGCGUUGGUUGUCCAAGUUUAAGGUGGUAGGCUGAAAUCUUAGGUAAAUCCGGGGUUUCAAGGCCGAGAGCUGAUGACGAGUCGUCUUUUAGAUGACGAAGUGGUUGAUGCCAUGCUUCCAAGAAAAGCUUCUAAGCUUCAGGUAACCAGGAACCGUACCCCAAACCGACACAGGUGGUCGGGUAGAGAAUACCAAGGCGCUUGAGAGAACUCGGGUGAAGGAACUAGGCAAAAUGGCACCGUAACUUCGGGAGAAGGUGCGCCGGCUAGGGUGAAGGAUUUACUCCGUAAGCUCUGGCUGGUCGAAGAUACCAGGCCGCUGCGACUGUUUAUUAAAAACACAGCACUCUGCAAACACGAAAGUGGACGUAUAGGGUGUGACGCCUGCCCGGUGCCGGAAGGUUAAUUGAUGGGGUUAGCGCAAGCGAAGCUCUUGAUCGAAGCCCCGGUAAACGGCGGCCGUAACUAUAACGGUCCUAAGGUAGCGAAAUUCCUUGUCGGGUAAGUUCCGACCUGCACGAAUGGCGUAACGAUGGCGGCGCUGUCUCCACCCGAGACUCAGUGAAAUUGAAAUCGCUGUGAAGAUGCAGUGUAUCCGCGGCUAGACGGAAAGACCCCGUGAACCUUUACUGUAGCUUUGCACUGGACUUUGAGCCUGCUUGUGUAGGAUAGGUGGGAGGCUUUGAAGCGUGGACGCCAGUUCGCGUGGAGCCAUCCUUGAAAUACCACCCUGGCAUGCUUGAGGUUCUAACUCUGGUCCGUGAUCCGGAUCGAGGACAGUGUAUGGUGGGCAGUUUGACUGGGGCGGUCUCCUCCUAAAGAGUAACGGAGGAGUACGAAGGUGCGCUCAGACCGGUCGGAAAUCGGUCGCAGAGUAUAAAGGCAAAAGCGCGCUUGACUGCGAGACAGACACGUCGAGCAGGUACGAAAGUAGGUCUUAGUGAUCCGGUGGUUCUGUAUGGAAGGGCCAUCGCUCAACGGAUAAAAGGUACUCCGGGGAUAACAGGCUGAUACCGCCCAAGAGUUCAUAUCGACGGCGGUGUUUGGCACCUCGAUGUCGGCUCAUCACAUCCUGGGGCUGAAGCCGGUCCCAAGGGUAUGGCUGUUCGCCAUUUAAAGUGGUACGCGAGCUGGGUUUAGAACGUCGUGAGACAGUUCGGUCCCUAUCUGCCGUGGACGUUUGAGAUUUGAGAGGGGCUGCUCCUAGUACGAGAGGACCGGAGUGGACGAACCUCUGGUGUUCCGGUUGUCACGCCAGUGGCAUUGCCGGGUAGCUAUGUUCGGAAAAGAUAACCGCUGAAAGCAUCUAAGCGGGAAACUUGCCUCAAGAUGAGAUCU